AACGAACGCUGGCGGCGCGCCUAACACAUGCAAGUCGGACGUGAAAGAGGGGGCAACUCCUUGAGUAAAGUGGCGCACGGGUGAGAAACGCGUAGGUAAUCUGCCUUAGUGACCGGGAUAACCAGCCGAAAGGUUGGCUAAUACUGGAUAGAGCGCAGGGUUCGUAGAGGACCUUGUGGGAAAGGGCGGCCGUAGCAAUACGGCGGUUGUACUGAGAUGAGCCUGCGUCCCAUUAGCUAGUUGGUAGGGUAAAGGCCUACCAAGGCAAUGAUGGGUAGCGGGGAUGAGAGGAUGAUCAGCCACACUGGAACUGAGACACGGUCCAGACUCCUACGGGAGGCAGCAGUGGGGAAUCUUGCGCAAUGGGCGAAAGCCUGACGCAGCGACGCCGCGUGGGUGAAGAAGGCCUUCGGGUUGUAAAGCCCUGUCGAGUGGGAAAAAUGGUAACUGCACUAAUACGGCAGUUAAUUGAUUGUACCACUAGAGGAAGCACCGGCUAACUCCGUGCCAGCAGCCGCGGUAA
rnacentral:rRNA from 1 species